AGCUGGGGCGGUGAUCAGAUGGACCAAGAGGGUACAAGGUGAAGUAGCAAUGCCUCUCACAGAACUGGCUGUGGGACAAGUUUCGUUCACAGAUCUCUGGAGUAGAGCUGAGGAGAAGACAAGCGUGUGGGAGGAAGAAGUUGAAACCACACUGCUGUUUAUACUUCCUAAUCUAAACCUGAGAUUUACGAUGAGGAAAAGGAGGCUUGAUGAGGGAAGCUAAACAGUCGCCGGCAGCCAACGGACUGAAGACUGGAGGAGCUGGGAGUCAAAUCAGCUGGCUUCUGGCAUCCAUCAUCCUGGGGGAAGAUCGUGAUAUUUAAGAGAAGAAAUGUAAAAGGAAAGAACAAGUUAAUAUUCCUCCUCUGACAGGCAAAAUAAAAUGAUCCAGAAAGAAAAUAACCUCGCAAGCCAGGUGUUCUCUUGAAAGAGGAUUGAUUUCUACCUUCCUUUAAUCUUCCUUUAACUUUUCAACAAUUUGGCCCAAUUGACUCAGCUUAUGGAAUUUUCCCAGUGUGUACAAAAAAACACUGCUGUGCUCCAUUAAGCCAUCUCCAAGAGGCUAGAAUAAAAGACGAGGGCAUGAUGUAUUGGUGAGAGAUAGCUGACCUUUGGGGUCCUAUGAGAUAGUGAGAAGGAGAAAGAAAGAGGAAGGAGGAAUGAGGAGUUUAGAGAUCAAUUUAGAUUGGGCGUUCUCCUAGCUUGGCCCAGAAAGUGGGGAGGCACAUGGGAUAAGUGGCGCUGUCACCAAGGGCAGAUCAUCAUCCUGGGGUGUGACCACAUCCACAUGGCAGUGUGCUAUGGCUAGAAAGAGGGAGGCUACAAAGCUUAGCUUUCCUGACCUAUACUUAUUUCCAGUGAAAAUGGUGGGAAUUUGUUUGGGGAAUAUUGCCAAUGGGAGUCACCAUGGCUGGACAGGGUUAAGGUGCUCUGGAUAAGGACCACAUGCCAAACCACCUGGGCCAGGCAAAAUUAGAGUCAUAACAAAAGAGAGAGAGUCUCAAACUAACAGAAGAGUCUAAAUUACCAGGGAGGGCUGGUGUGAGGCAGAGCCAUCCAGGCAAUCCCAUGGCCCUGACCAGUGGAGGAAAGCCUGGUCUAUAAGUUCCUCUACUUAAUACAGACAUAAACUUCAGUUGCGAACCCCAGCAGGUAGACCAGGGACCAUGCAACUGAGCCAGAAGAGCCAGAGUAGCCAGAGGAAUGAAUUGUUACCUUCCAUGAUGUCAUUUAAGCCCCACCUAUCUCCCUCACACCCAGGUGCCAUCUUGGAGAGGAGCCAGGCAGGGAGCCAGAAUGGUAUGUUGGAGAGACUCACCCUUUUUCCCUCCAGAAAAUAAACAUUCUUUGAAGCGAUUGUUUAUAUUAUUGUGUUAUACUAUAGUUCAAACAUGACUAGACAUGGAAGUAAUCAGGUCAUCCUUUUGAAUGGCUUUUGGCUAUGUCCAAAAAAUCAACCACUCUCAGAGGGCAAAGAUUAGCCAUUAUUGAAAGGCUUCUAAAAAUAUUCUAGUUGAUAAAUACAUGUCAAAAAAGUUAACCUCACUAAUUGUUCACUCAAAUGUAAACUAAAAGCACUACCCCAUACUUUCUUUUUUGAGGUCAGUAAACAUUGGAAAAAAAUACAAAAACUAUAUGAGACAGGAGGAAAA